rnacentral:rRNA from 1 species
AUUGAACGCUGGCGGCAGGCCUAACACAUGCAAGUCGAGCGGAUGAAGGGAGCUUGCUCCUGGAUUCAGCGGCGGACGGGUGAGUAAUGCCUAGGAAUCUGCCUGGUAGUGGGGGAUAACGUCCGGAAACGGGCGCUAAUACCGCAUACGUCCUGAGGGAGAAAGUGGGGGAUCUUCGGACCUCACGCUAUCAGAUGAGCCUAGGUCGGAUUAGCUAGUUGGUGGGGUAAAGGCCUACCAAGGCGACGAGCCGUAACUGGUCUGAGAGGAUGAUCAGUCACACUGGAACUGAGACACGGUCCAGACUCCUACGGGAGGCAGCAGUGGGGAAUAUUGGACAAUGGGCGAAAGCCUGAUCCAGCCAUGCCGCGUGUGUGAAGAAGGUCUUCGGAUUGUAAAGCACUUUAAGUUGGGAGGAAGGGCAGUAAGUUAAUACCUUGCUGUUUUGACGUUACCAACAGAAUAAGCACCGGCUAACUUCGUG